AUUGAACGCUGGCGGCAUGCCUUACACAUGCAAGUCGAACGGUAACGCGGGGCAACCUGGCGACGAGUGGCGAACGGGUGAGUAAUGCAUCGGAACGUGCCCAGUUGUGGGGGAUAACUGCUCGAAAGAGCAGCUAAUACCGCAUACGACCUGAGAGUGAAAGCGGGGGAUCGCAAGACCUCGCGCAAUUGGAGCGGCCGAUGUCAGAUUAGGUAGUUGGUGGGGUAAAGGCCUACCAAGCCGACGAUCGGUAGUUGGUCUGAGAGGACGACCAGCCACACUGGGACUGAGACACGGCCCAGACUCCUACGGGAGGCAGCAGUGGGGAAUUUUGGACAAUGGGCGCAAGCCUGAUCCAGCAAUGCCGCGUGCAGGAAGAAGGCCUUCGGGUUGUAAACUGCUUUUGUCAGGGAAGAAAUCCUCUGGGUUAAUACCCCGGGGGGAUGACGGUACCUGAAGAAUAAGCACCGGCUAACUACGUGCCAGCAGCCGCCGUAACAC
rnacentral:rRNA from 1 species